rnacentral:rRNA from 1 species
UACGUAGGGAGCGAGCGUUGUCCGGAAUUACUGGGUGUAAAGGGAGCGUAGGCGGGCGAGAAAGUUGAAUGUUAAAUCUACCGGCUUAACUGGUAGCUGCGUUCAAAACUUCUUGUCUUGAGUGAAGUAGAGGCAGGCGGAAUUCCUAGUGUAGCGGUGAAAUGCGUAGAUAUUAGGAGGAACACCAGUGGCGAAGGCGACUUACUGGACUGUAACUGACGCUGAGGCAUGAGAGCAUGGGGAGCAAGCAGG